rnacentral:rRNA from 1 species
UACGGAGGGUGCGAGCGUUGUCCGGAAUCACUGGGCGUAAAGGGCGCGUAGGCGGCCUGAUAAGUAGGGGGUGAAAUCCUGCGGCUUAACCGCAGGGCUGCCUUCUAAACUGUCAGGCUAGAGCACAGUAGAGGCAGGUGGAAUUCCCGGUGUAGCGGUGGAAUGCGUAGAGAUCGGGAGGAACACCGAUGGCGAAGGCAGCUCGCUGGGACGGUACUGACGCUGAGGUGCGAAAGCGUGGGGAGCAAACAGG